ACAGAGGUCUCGAGCGUUAGGCGGAAUCACUGGGCUUAAAGCGUGUGUAGGCGGAUCGUUAAGUGCCUUGUGAAAUCCCACGGCUCAACCGUGGAACUGCUUGGCAUACUGGCGGUCUUGAGCAACCUAGGGGCGAGCGGAACAAAUGGUGGAGCGGUGAAAUGCGUAGAUAUCAUUUGGAACGCCAAUGGUGAAAACAGCUCGCUGGGGGUUUGCUGACGCUGAGACACGAAAGCCAGGGGAGCAAACGGGA
rnacentral:rRNA from 1 species